UACGGAGGGAGCUAGCGUUGUUCGGAAUUACUGGGCGUAAAGCGCGCGUAGGCGGCUUUGUAAGUUAGAGGUGAAAGCCCGGAGCUCAACUCCGGAACUGCCUUUAAGACUGCAUCGCUUGAAUCCGGGAGAGGUGAGUGGAAUUCCGAGUGUAGAGGUGAAGUUCGUAGAUAUUCGGAAGAACACCAGUGGCGAAGGCGGCUCACUGGACCGGUAUUGACGCUGAGGUGCGAAAGCGUGGGGAGCAAACAGG
rnacentral:rRNA from 1 species